AUUCACUCAUUCGUCUGUCUGAUGAAUAAGUGAAUAGAUGAAAUUCCCGUUUGCAUGUCCAGGUGUUUCACUGGGCAUGUGCGGGAAUCUCACAGUCUGUCUAGUGUGUCCCACAGGGACUUCAUCUACCCACACAAAGAUGGCUGCGCCCUGAAUAUAGAUUGGGGCAGAAAAUAAGGAUUAAAAAAUAGGUAAUGUGGGG